UACGUAGGGUGCGUGCGUUAAUCGGAAUUACUGGGCGUAAAGCGUGCGCAGGCGGUUUCUGAAGUCCGUUGUGAAAGCCCCGGGCUCAACCUGGGAAUGGCAGUGGAAACUAGGGGACUGGAAUCUGGCAGAGGGGGGUGGAAUGCCGCGUGUAGCAGUGAAAUGCGUAGAGAUGCGGCGGAACACCGGUGGCGAAGGCGGCCUUCUGGACAGUGACUGACGCUGAGACGCGAAAGCGUGGGGAGCAAACAGG
rnacentral:rRNA from 1 species